UUCCUACGGGGGGCAGCAGUGGGGAAUAUUGGACAAUGGGGGAAACCCUGAUCCAGCGACGCGGCGUGAGUGAAGAAGUAUUUCGGUAUGUAAAGCUCUAUCAGCAGGGAAGAAAAUGACGGUACCUGACUAAGAAGCCCCGGCUAACUACGUGCCAGCAGACGCGGUAAUACGUAGGGGGCAAGCGUUAUCCGGAUUUACUGGGUGUAAAGGGAGCGUAGACUGCAUUGCAAGUCUGAUGUGAAAGAUUGGUGCUCUACCCCAGGCCUGCAUUGUCAACUGU
rnacentral:rRNA from 1 species